UCGAAUUGUAGUUUAAUGUAAAAUAUCAGCAUUGGAAGCUAACGAUUGGGUAAGUAAUGCCCACAUUUCGAA
rnacentral:tRNA from 1 species